rnacentral:sRNA from 1 species
AUAGGGGUGAAGAGAAGACCUGAGACAUAGUGAUUGUCGCCAUGUCAUGAAGCAUGAUACCACUGCAGAAGUCAAGUUCUGUCCGUUUCAUGGGGAGAAUAAAUGAUGCAUUAUGAUUUCCUCCAUCGGAAGACCAUCAUAUUUAUUAGUAGUUAAAUUCUAAGUUAUCAAUAAGGAGUGGCUUCUAUGUCAGCCUAAACAUGUGCUCUAAGUCUGUCAUGCAUUGCUGCUGCUGCAGCUACUCGUGUUCGUAUAUUUUAGUAGUUAAAUUCUAAGUUGUCAAUAAGGAGUGGCUUCUAUGUCAGCAUGAGCAUGUGAAGUCGAGUCUGUGUGUUUUGUUGUUGCUGCUGCAGCAGCUACUCGUGGUUCUAAACUAAAGUGAGUCGUUAGUAC